rnacentral:misc_RNA from 1 species
GGAAAUCAUGUUCAUUUCAAAUGCACACCUACCUAAAAGAUAUUCAAUUGAAUCUAACAAUCUAUACACUAUGGUAAAAGCCAAUUACAAUUCUUAUCCCAAAACAAGUCCCCCAAAAUUGGGGAAGAAAAGAAUUAAGAAAAUCAAACAUACAAAAUAACAACAGUUCAAUUCAGUUUCACUCAAGCUUUAACAGUGUCAAACUUGUAUCGACUUAAUAUGAGUUCUGGAAAGAAAAAAUCCAGCUCUUAUUUCCUCGAAUGAGUAUUCGAUUACUUCAGGAACCUCUUCUGCCGGACUAGCACCAUAUGGAACUGGUGGAGGUGCUGGGGUCAUAGUCGUCUGCAUUGGAACAGACAAUGUUGAAGGUGUUUUUGGCACAGGGAUUGGCAUUGCCUUAGGAGUCCUAUUCUCUUCAUCUGCGAGAGAAGUUCUCGAAGGGGUAGCAGUAAAGGACAGUUCAUUUGUUGCUAGUGUCUUCUUACAUGGCUCAGAAUGUUCUGUGAUCACAUCUUCUAAGAUGUUGGCUUUUGAUGAUCCUGUGGAAGAAAUAGGUGAGAAAGGUUUCCGCAGCAUUGGUGACUCUGGUUCAUGAGCAUUUACAGUAUUGAAGGAACGUAUUUUUGCAGGAAGACCAGCAAUAUCCAACCCUCUCCUACUUCUUCAACAAUCAACAAUUAGAGAAUUGUGAAGAACCAGUUGGUGUUUUCCCCAGGCCUCGAGGGAGAAUGGCAAGCCGUUAUUGCUCAAUUUCAAUUAUAUCAUCAGCUGACAAUGCUGCAAAGCCAUCAUCCUGCCGGUGAUUUAAAGGAUCGUGUUGGUGGAUUCGGUCAACUUUCUUGCCAGGACGUGAAUGGGAUGCAGCCUUGCUGGAUUGAAUUAUAUCAGGUUUAGGAUUGUGCAGCAUUGCUCCUCCAAGGGAGAGUCUUCUGUUGCUUGCGCCUCCAGCUGAAACUCUGGGAGCUUUUCUCACAUUUUGU